ensembl:ncRNA lncRNA:CR45540 long non-coding RNA:CR45540
AGCUUUUCAUUUGUAUUUCGACUGUGACGUCAAUGAUGAUGACGUCGCCCGUUCGUUUGCUAUCUCACUUUGGCUAAGGCAUCUCGCUUGCACUUGAUGGGGUCAAUGCAGAAGGCAAUGAAACCGCAUGGAAAAUUUGUGAAAAUCGCCGGCCUUCGUUUUAUAAACAAAAGUCAUUAAUUAUAAUACGUUUUUGGCAACUGUAAAUAACUUCACGUGACGCUUGGCCAAAAGCCGGAAAAUUCAUUUGACAGAAAAACGGCGAAAAAAGAAACACAUAAAGCGGGCAAAUAGAUAAAAACGAAAUUAGCGGCAAAAAACUCAUAAAAAAAUGUUCAAAAUUGUCACAGAAAUAUUUACUGUGAAAAUAUACAAAAAAAAAUAAAGAAAUAAACGCACAUGUUAUACGUUACAGUCAAAUAAGU